rnacentral:sRNA from 1 species
UACAAGUGCUCCAUAUCCCUAUUAUCCU